AGACUAGCAACACAAUCCUACUGUUUCUGACCUUUUUCAAAAUGUUUAUUGUUUUGUUUCAAAAAGUUACUGUUUUGAACAAUCUUGAACGCCUUUCACUAUAUAUAGAACUAUUGAACGCCAGUAAUAAUCUGAACUAGAAUCAUGUCAAUUAUAAAUUAGUAGGUUCUAAAGUAAGUCUCUGAUUUCCAACUUGGCUGGUCAUAAAGAACAGUGCUGGAUGUGAUUCGAAUAGCCGAUAUAUUUACUAAAUAUAAAUCUUGACAUCACGUGAUCAACCAAGAUGUGUUCAACGAUCCCGUCCUGGAGUUGUGUAGUAGUUCUACUCGCUGUGGUGAACAUGGGCCACUCUCAGUAUACGUACCACGGUAGACCCUAUAUG